rnacentral:sRNA from 1 species
UGUACAAUUGAAUAGGUGCUUCCUCCUGGA